UAAUACGGAGGGUGCAAGCGUUAUCCGGAAUCAUUGGGUUUAAAGGGUCCGCAGGCGGAUUUAUAAGUCAGUGGUGAAAGCCUACAGCUUAACUGUAGAACUGCCAUUGAUACUGUAAGUCUUGAAUUUGGUCGAAGUGGGCGGAAUAUGACAUGUAGCGGUGAAAUGCAUAGAUAUGUCAUAGAACACCGAUAGCGAAGGCAGCUCACUAGGCCAACAUUGACGCUCAUGGACGAAAGCGUGGGGAGCAAACAGGAUUAGAUACCCUGGUAGUCCACGCCGUAAACUAUCAAUACUCGUUUUCAGCGAUAUACUGUUGGAGACUAAGCGAAAGUGAUAAGUAUUGCACCUGGGGAGUACGAUCGCAAGGUUG
rnacentral:rRNA from 1 species